GGCGAUAUGGCCGAGCGGUCUAAGGCGCCAGAAUCAGGCUUGUUCUAUCUGGUCCGAAAGGGCGUGGGUUCGAAUCCCACUGUCGUCA
rnacentral:tRNA from 1 species